rnacentral:rRNA from 1 species
UGAGGAACAUGACCUUCGGCGGGGGAUAGCCGGCCCAACGGCCGGGUAAUACCGCGUACGACCUUUCGGGGACAUCCCCGGAUGGUGAAAGCAGCAAUGCGCCGAUGGAGUGCCUCGCGGCCUAUCAGCUAGUUGGUGAGGUAACGGCUCACCAAGGCAACGGACGGGUAGCUGGUCUGAGAGGAUGGCCAGCCACAGUUGGGACUGAGACACCGGCCCAGACCUCCGUACGGGAGGNAGCG